rnacentral:lncRNA from 1 species
UAGAACGUAUUAAAAUCAAGUUAGAUUGGUGCAGAAUACAGGAUAAAUCAUUUUUGUGGAUUUGUCAAAAGUUAACGUACCUAUUUGUGAAAAAGCGGUUUAAUACCUACAGGAUUAAAAUGAUUGUUAUAGUGUUGCCGUUAUGAGACUAUAAUCCGUGUUACAAAUAACAUAAUUAUUGCUCAGACUCUGCUUUUGUUAGCGGCUCGGUGGUUAGAACAUAAAAGCGAAAGACCCAUCAAGUUACUCCACCUUUGGAUGUUUUCUUGAGAUCAGCAGAAGUUGUAAGAAAUGAGGAACAUAUAAUUUCUAUUAGAAAAGCUGCACGAGAUUUUGGUAUACAUUUUCGGAGUUUAGCAAGAUUUUUCAAAGAAUGCCAGACACCAAUAGAACUGUCCAAAUGGGAUACAAAAAAACUCGACUCGUGUUCUGUUCUGUUCAAAAAAUCGAACUAGAAAAAUAUUUGAAAAAAGCUUCUGAUAUGUACUUUGGUUUAACACAUAUUGAAGUAAGAAAUUAUUCUUACUUCUUAAGUUUAUAGUGUUUCUAUUGAAAGUUAGAUCCAAUGUACAGCAUGCAGACAUAAUGGACACAUACAGACUGCACCAAUGGAAACCAAUUUUAUGUGUGCCACAAUUGUGACUCUGAGGACGAUAUGUAGUUCUUUCUAAGUUUAUAAGUUCUUUGAAUAAAAACGUUUUAUUUCUUGUUUA